rnacentral:rRNA from 1 species
CUGCCAAGGGCAUGGCUCGGUAGCUAUGUACGGAAUGGAUAAGCGCUGAAAGCAUCUAAGCGCGAAGCCAACUUCAAGAUAAGAUUUCCCACCGCAAGGGUAAGACCCCAGAAAGACUAACUGGUUGAUAGGUCGAAGGUGUAAGGGCAGCAAUGUAUUUAGCUUAUCGAUACUAAUAGGUCGAGGACUUGACCAAU